GUUGGGAAAAUGCUCUCCGCACCUCCCAGCAAUACGGUGGAUCGAGGACCUUCUCACUCGGUGCCGUGAGAGGUUUGAGCGCUAGCGAGCAGUGAACUCAACAGUAGGUGAAUACAGUGAAUGCUCUCUCCCUUUAUUAAUGACGGCAUCACGCCCCUUAUAUAGGGCCUGGAAACCGACCUAAUGACGUUUACAUAAAUACCCCGUGACGGUGGGGGGGAUAUUCCAGUAUAUUCUUACAUCACAGUCUACUGACCCUAAGUCACCUGCGUAAUUUCACAUUGCAAGCCCUUCGUUUAUCCUCUGUCUGGGGCUUCAGCUGGUCGGAGGCUUGGAUCCUCCGCCCAAUUGCGGAUCCUUCGACGCUUCAGUGUCGGAGGUUCCUCUGUCUGGCUGGGCCGGAGGUUGCUCGACCCGGCCACCCCGGGAGUUCCUCCUUAGCCUGGUCGAGUCGGAGGUCCCUCGGCCUGGCCGCGUUCUCCCGCCGUCCUCGGACCCGGGAGGGUCGGAGGUUCCCCCCUUUCCUUGCUCGUGGACCUCCGCCGGUGUCUCAGUCCCUGCACACACUUAGCAUGACCAGACGAGUCGUCAACAUUAGUAUUUUCCGAUGAAGGAUAUCCUCCGACGCCUGAAGGAUAUCCUCCGACGCUUCAGGCGUCGGAGGUUCCUCGGGUGAAGGAUAACCUUCGACGCUACCAGGGGGAAGGAUGCAGCUGUUCCCCAACACCCAUUUUAUAUAUUUAUUAAAAUGUCUCGAAAGGCAUAAAUGGCUCCUCCCUUGAAAUUGCUUUGAGUAUCCUUCCAGAUACUCCAUAUACCAGGGAAGAAGCAUAUCAAAAUCCAACUCCAUAUGCCAAACAAAUUUGCAUCUAGGGUCAUAUCAAACACACCCAUGCAUAUUGUAAGAUGAGCAGUGAUUUACACCAAUGGAUCACGCAAAAAAAAAAAAUCUUUGAUAAUACUUGACUAAUGACCAUGAUCUAACAUAAAUCACUUCGUUUCACAUAAGAGUAAAAUAAACUGGUGAUCACUGAACUCUCAAAAUGUUGUUUCUAGGUCAUCGGACUUAUCUACAUCUUGAUGCCACAUGUCAUAACGGUUGUAUCCACAUCUUAUUGUUUUUAUCAAGCAGGAAUUUAAUUAAUGGCAAAACAAUCAUUCGCCUACAUCUUCCAUCUAAGGAACACUAGCUUUAGCCUUGCCAUCACCAGUACUGAUAACGUCGUGGCCUUUGAUGUUGAGCACAUGCUAAAGGGUAUGCAAUACAGCACUAGAUUGGACGUAGAGAGAAGGAGAGAGCAUGGAUAAUUGGUGAUGGAGAGAGAGAGAGAGAGAGAGAGAGAGAGAGAGAGAGAGAGAGAAGGAGGAUGUAGAUGGAGAGCCACGUAGGCCU
rnacentral:lncRNA from 1 species